rnacentral:rRNA from 1 species
CAAUAGUGUAUAUUAAAGUUGUUGCAGUUAAAAAGCUCGUAGUUGGAUUUCGGGGCAGCCUGGCUGGUCCGCCGCAAGGCGAGUACUGGUCAGCCGCCCUUCCUCUCGAAAGCCCCGACUGCUCUUCGUUGCAGUGGUCGGGUAGUUCGGGACGUUUACUUUGAAAAAAUUAGAGUGUUCAAGGCAGGCCUACGCCUGAAUACAUUAGCAUGGAAUAAUGGAAGAGGACCUCGGUCCUAUUUUGUUGGUUUCCAGGGCCGAAGUAAUGAUUAAGAGGGACAGUUGGGGGCAUUCGUAUUUAAUUGUCGGAGGUGAAAUUCUCGGAUUUAUGAAAGACGAACAACUGCGAAAGCAUUUGCCAAGGAUGUUUUCAUUAA